GCAGAAGCUCAAGGCCCCUUACUGCCCUCCUGUUCCUCCGUGACCAGUGUGCACCCGGAGAUCCGUUUUACGCCCAGAUAUGAGACAACCUACUUCAAGGUUAAAUUGAUGUUCUGAACGGGCACGGCCGCCGGGAAGGAAACGAAUAUUAAGCAGAGGCGAAAUCAUGGUUCCGAGAGAAGAAUCAAACAGCUACGGCCCAGAUACAGGUUGUUCAGAAUCUGGUCAAGAAGAUAAGAGUCCAAUAGUGUGAGAUCUUCACAAAGAUACGAAAGAUGACUCAGAAAAGUCUUACUCAACAUGAAAGUCCAUCUACCGGCCAGGCAGACGACUAGGCAUCCAACUGAG